rnacentral:rRNA from 1 species
CACCGCGGUUAUACGAGAGGCCCUAGUUGAUAACUACCGGCGUAAAGAGUGGUUAUGGAAAAUAUUUAAUAAAGCCGAACACCCCCUCAGCCGUCAUACGCACCUGGGAGCACGAAGACCUACCGCGAAAGCAGCUCUGGGAUUAGAUACCCCACUAUG